AUUGAACGCUGGCGGCAGGCCUAACACAUGCCAGUCGAGCGGAUGAAGGGAGCUUGCUCCUGGAUUCAGCGGCGGACGGGUGAGUAAUGCCUAGGAAUCUGCCUGGUAGUGGGGGAUAACGUCCGGAAACGGGCGCUAAUACCGCAUACGUCCUGAGGGAGAAAGUGGGGGAUCUUCGGACCUCACGCUAUCAGAUGAGCCUAGGUCGGAUUAGCUAGUUGGUGGGGUAAAGGCCUACCAAGGCGACGAUCCGUAACUGGUCUGAGAGGAUGAUCAGUCACACUCUGACUCAGAGACGCGGCAGAGACCUACGGGAGGCACCAGAGUGGAGAAUUUGACAAUGGGGGCAAGCCUGAUACAGCCCUGCGGCGCGUGUGAAGAAGGUCUUCGGAUUGUAAAGCACUUUAAGUUGGGAGGAAGGGCAGUAAGUUAAUACCUUGCUGUUUUGACGUUACCAACAGAAUAAGCACCGGCUAACUUCGUG
rnacentral:rRNA from 1 species